rnacentral:rRNA from 1 species
GGACAAGCGAAUAAGUGCACAUGGUGGAUGCCUUGGCGAUUACAGGCGAUGAAGGACGUAGUAGCUUGCGAUAAGCUGCGGGGAGCUAGCAAACGAGCUUUGAUCCGCAGAUUUCCGAAUGGGGAAACCCGGCCUUUAUAGGUCAUUGCAUACUGAAUACAUAGGUAUGCAAAGCGAACGCGGCGAACUGAAACAUCUAAGUAGCUGCAGGAAAAGAAAUCAACCGAGAUUCCCAAAGUAGUGGCGAGCGAAAUGGGAUGAGCCUGUAUGUGAUAGUCGAUCGGAUAGUGGAAG